UAUGAUGAAGCCAGUCAGUCUUCUAGCAUGGAAGGGAAAGGAGCCCACUGGCCCCUCCCCUAACUGACAAGCUGUUGACAGUUGGUGGCUUCUAGAGAAGGAAGAGUCAGUUUUUCUUAUGGUGAUGAUGUAACGAACCUUUUCCCAGCCUCCACGUUGAGAUCAGGUGUGAAGACUGCAUUCCUUGUGUGCUAAGGUGUUUCCAUCUGUAGCUGUGGCUCUAACUGCAGAUGGUAGGAACAGAGCCAGGAUGGUGGUCCCAGAGUCUCAUCAUUUGAGGGCAGAGAAAAGACGAGUGAUGGGUACAGCUUCCAUGUCCUUUUUGGAGACACCCUCCCUGUGGCUAUGAGGAUCAAUAUGGAACACACCAACAAACUGCCACCUCUACUUCCCAGGAUCAAGAGGGGCAAGACCAGAGAUGCAACAUGUCAGCUUCUAGUUCCUCUAAUUGAAGGAACACAACACAUUUCACUCUUCCUUGGACAUGAAUCUGUUCCUGACUGUGUUGUGGUACCAUAUAUAGGAUAACAGUGGCGGCCCAUUCAUCCUCAUGUGGAGUCUCACUGGAAGACAGUUUCCAAUGCCUGGUGUCCUGUGAUCCACACUGAGCCUCUCCUUACUCCUCUGCCUCUCAGCCUUCAUUAGCAACUCUCUAAGAUUGGUGCUAAUAUGAUUUUCUCACUGGAUGGGGUUGGGAGCUGUCCCUCCAAUUUAGAAGUUUUAUCCCAGUGAUUUUACAACUAGGUGAGGGCUCCUGCCUACUUGGCACCUUUCACUAGUUUUUUUGUUUUGCUUUUUAAGAGAUUCCAGAAAAUGGCAAAGAUACAAACUAUGGACAGAGGUGCACCGAUCUUCAGGAGGAGGUCUGAGCAUGCAGACAUGUGCCCUAUACUUGAACCUACCUAUUUUCCCUGUUUGUGAGUAACUAUCACAGCCUGUUCUUAAGUAGUUCAAUGUUAGAAAUAUAGGGACAGGGCACAUUCCAGGAGAAACCAUGGUAGUAGAUCAGUCGUUUUAUUAACAAUUAUGUACACAAUGUUAGGGCAAAACGUGUACAGUAAGACUGAUGACUGCAAGGCUUUACAUCUGCAUUGUAAGAGAUCCAUAGAAAUCAGGUUAUAAUUCUGGAUUCUUGUAGAUAGGCUCCUGUGAGGGUUUAAGGAAACCUAAGAACCCAUGUUUAGUCUUUGAACAUGCCAACAAACAUACCUCCAGAGGAGGAAGUCCUGGGAUUUCCAUUACACAUUUUUAUUAAAGUUGUGUCUGUA